CCCGCCCCCAAAUCCCGUGGCCCUCUGCGGGACAUUAUUUAAGUCCCUCGCUGCGCUUUUUCGGUCUUGUUUCAUUCGCUGUUGUCUGGUUCAGGCACACGUUUGAGUAGAAAAGAACCCUGCGCUGAUUGGAAUGUUCCGCUCAAAAGAGCUUACUGUCCUGAGGAAUUCAGCUUCCCUGGGGCAGUUUCAGGUCCUGAUGCUGUAUCAUCUGUCUUCUGUAAGUUACCUAUGGUAACUAUGGUAAAUGAGGAACAUUAUGGUUGUGAACCCAUUAUCCAGGAUGAACUAAUUUUACCUUCAAGGUACCCAACAAUAUGCCAAGGUCCGGUUGCUGGAAGGAGCUGA
rnacentral:lncRNA from 1 species